GCUCAGGAGCGAACGCUGGCGGCGUGGGCCUAACACUUCAAGUCGAGCGCUGCAAAGGAGGGGUAACUCUCUUUGGUAGGUUAGCGGCGAACGUGGUGAGUAACACGGUGGGUAACACCCUUUUAGGUGGGGGAUAACUCGGGGAAACCUUGAGCUAAUUACCCCGUAAGACUUACGAGGUGAAACCUUGUAGUUAAAAGGAGGAAACCGCCUAAGGAUUGGGCCCGCGGCCUAUCAGGGUAGUUGGUAGGGUAACGGCUACCAACCUAUGACGGGUAGCCGGGCUGAGAGGCUUGGCCGGCCACAGUGGGUGAGACACGGGCCCACACUCCUACGGGAGGGCAGCAGUUGGGGAAUGGGCAAUGGGCGAAAGGGCCUGACCCAGCGACGCCGCGUGGGAAGAAGGGCCUUCGGGUUUGUAAACCCUUUUGCAGGGACGACACAGGACGGUACCCUUGCGAAUAAGCCACGGCUAACUCUGUGCCAGCAGCCGCGGUAAGACAGAGG
rnacentral:rRNA from 1 species